GGGCGCGUAGCUCAGCUGGUUAGAGCGCAUGUAUCACACACAUGAGGUCGGGGGUUCGAGUCCCUCCGCGCCCACCA
rnacentral:tRNA from 1 species